rnacentral:rRNA from 1 species
GGGCCAGCAUUUCCAGCAAUGGAUGGAGGGCGACCGGGCGGAAAGGGUGCGUAACGCGUGAGCAACAUGCCCUAUACAGGGAGAUACCACCCAGGGAAACUUGGUCUAAUAUCCCAUAGCAUUUCAUGGAAGGCAUUCUUUAAUGAAUUAAAGCUUCGGUGGUAUAGGAUUGGCUCGCGUGACAUUAGCCAGAUGGUGAGGUAACGGCUCACCAUAGCAAUGAUGUCUAGGGGUUUUGAGAGGAAGGCCCCCCACACUGGGACUGAGACACGGCCCAGACUCUUACGGGAGGCAGCAGUGAGGAAUAUUGANCAAUGGAUGAAAAUCUGAUCCAGCCCAUGCCGCGUGCAGGAAGACGGCUUUAUGGGUUGUAAAUUGCUUUUUUACGGGAGCAAUAAAGGGUUACGAGUAUUCCGAUGAGAGUAUUUUAGGAAUUAAGGUUGGGUUAAUUCCGUGCCAGCAGCCGGGGUAUUACGGAGAAUCCGAGCGUUUUCGGGAAUUAUUGGGUUUAAAGGGUGGGUAGGCGGCCAUUUAAUUCAGCGGUGAAAUUUUGCAGUUUAAUUGUAACAGUGCCGUUGAUACUGUUUGGUUAGGAUUUGGUUGUAGUGUGCGGAAUGUGUGGUGUAGCGGUGAAAUGUUUAGAUAUCACACAGAACACGGAUUGCGAAGGCAGCACAUUAAGUCAUUAUUGACGCUGAGGCACGAAAGUGUGGGGAUCAAACAGGAUUAGAUACCCUGGUAGUCCACACUGUAAACGAUGAUAACUCGCUGUCGGCGAUACACAGUCGGGGCCAAGCGAAAG